AACAGAUGAGGAACCAAGCCCCUAGCCCCGGUCCUCAAGGGUAUCGAUUACAACAGAGGCAGGGACACUGCCGAGGACUCCCUGGCUCCAGCUGGUGCACAAGACAAGCUGUGAAGGCCGAGGCCACCGCGUAACGUCAUUCUGCUAUUCUCACUGACAAAUGAGGGCAGAUGAGACAGCGUGAGAGAUGUCUGCAUUUGCACAGUGAGGGGCCCUAACAGGCACCCAGCCAGGACCCCCCAGCUCCCCAGGCCACGCUCUCCACAGGCUCUCCCCUGCGGAUGCAGUGAAGCCCCAGCCAGGCUGGCCAGACUUGCCUCUGCUGUCUCCACUCCUCCAUCUGCUGCCUCCCAGGGCCUCUCCACCAUUUGCUCUCCAUUCCACUACUGGCCCAUGCUCGAUUCCGGUGGCUCUGGCCACCCUGAGGCAUGCCAAGGGCAGCCGGGCUUUGAUAGCAGAGAUGAAAGGCAGCGCCUCAGUGCGCACGAGAUCUGGGCACAAAUGUCAACGCUUUUAUCGACAAACCCCAAAUUACCCGCUCCCGCACAGCCUUUCAUCGCCAUGGGGCAAGCAGGCUGCUUAUUAGAGACACUGCUUUGUCCAUGAGCUCCCCUGCGGAGACCGGGUGGACGGGCCCAUACCAGUGUCCCCCUCAGAACCACCGAGCCCUCUCCCUGUGGGACGGCGGGCUCUGCUCUUUUCUGGGCCAGCCAGGCCACUGCUGCCCUCCCACACACCGCCUGCAGCUCCAGGAAGCAGAGGUUGGGACCACAGGCCAAGUGUGCAGGGCACUGACUGGUUUCUCUCUUUCUUCCCUCUUUCUCUCUUCCUGCAGCCGAGGCAGCAACUGAGGACUCCACAUCACAGAUGCCUGUGAUCACAGAGGCCACCUGAGGCCACUGACAUGGCUCCCCUGUCCUGGGGCCCCAGAAGACAGCGGGCUGUGUCCUUGUUAGAGGGAUCCCGAGCAGAUGAGAAAACUGGGACUGCAACAUGAACCACUGUCCACAUCACAUGGCUGAAGGGGACAGGACCCACAGGGACACGAGUCAGAAGAAUCUACCACCAUCGGAACCCAAGUGAGACUCAGACUCCCCAGUGUGUCCAUGGCAGCCCUGGCUUUGACCUGCAACUCCAAGCCUUCCGCUCAAUGCUCCUAACACUGGGUGGAACCCAGAAGUGGGCUACAGGGAAGGAAGCGCACCGGGCUCCUGUCUUUAAGGCCAAGGGCAAGGUGGCAGCCCACAACCUCCCCCCGCCCCCGGAGUGCCACACCCUCACCAAGGUGGAGCCCCCGGAUGGUCUCUCCCCUGGCUUCCUGCAGUACCUUCUGCUAUGACAGGAAAAGCAGCCCAAAGCCAGAGACCUGAAGGAAUUCCUAUCUCCCACUUGGCCAUGAGAAUACAGAGUAUCAUUCUAAGACUACUGCUAUGCACUUGGUUCUGGGCUGAGCACAUAUAAAGGACAGGAAUCUCCUCUGAUCCCAGACCAAGCCCAUAACUCAGAUCACUGACUGCCUGCUGCUCUCUCAUCCGCGUGUUCAUGCGAAAGGCUGUGUGUGACUGAGCACCGAGCACAGGGCUCCAGCCCGGGUUUUGGAGUUGGGACCUGCUCUCUGCUGAGUACACAGAAAGCCAGAGCUUGAUUUGAGCCAAGAUGAUCUAUCAACCAACCACGCACACCGGCUGGCCGCACACAGAUGGUGCUCUUCGGUGGGCAAGCAUUUGCCUGGAUAUGGACGCCUAUAAUCCAUCACCACCCGGGAAGCCGUCAGAUGAGUGUUCUCAUGCUCCCCCACUGCACAUCUGGGGAAACCGAGGUUGAAGAGACCACCCACGAUCACACAGUACAUCAGUGGUCCUCAUCUUCUACUUUCUUUUGCCUACACAUCUCUGCCCACCUUGAGUGUGAUGUGAGGAGUCAGUGCUGGCCUGGUAGCCAAGGUGGGAUGGGUCGCUGAGGAUGUGGACAUGCAGAAAGCUCUGGACAAGCACUGCACAGAAGGCACUGACUGAACUCUCCGGAGUCAGGAGCUGCAUCCUGAGUAUUCAGGGUUGUUCUUAGUACAAGCCAAGAAGCAAAGCAAAGCAAAGCAGUCUCUGGAAACUCUAGAGAAGUAAGCAAACCACGUUACGGAGUCAGACCAUCCCUGGGUCCACUCAGCGGAGCCACUGCAGGCGGCAAAGUGUUCCCUGAGCCUCCAGCACCCGUCUUCAAGUGGAAUAACAGGCCUGUGCCCUCCCGACAGGUCCAGGGGCUCCGUGUCCGUGUCUGGUGUGAAUGGAGUGCUCCUUAUUUCCUCCUUGAGCCCCAGGGAAGUGUCAUCCACUGCUGUUCACUCCACAGGACAUCCGGUUAACCAGGUGAAGAGUGGCCAGUUCUACAUCUCAUAAAAAUGGAACUGCACGUGUGAGCGUCCACACAGCACAGGCUGCUCAAGGCUCGCCACGCCACUGCCGGCCCGGUGCAUCUCGCCAUCUAAUGGCGGCUGAGCCAUCUCACUCUGCCGUCAGCAGACACAGACAAGGGCCCUUUCUAUCCCGCGGCUGCUGCGGGCCCUGCUGCGACCAACACCUGAGUGCGAGUUUCUGCACAGACCUGUUUUCAGCUCUCUCAAAUGCACGCGGACUCGUAGAAUGCCAGGUCGGAUGCUGCAGCCCUUUCCCGUGAGGCUGCACUCGCACUCGCCCACAGCCAGCACCAGGGCCCACCUGCUCCCACUCUGGGUCCUUGCCCGCACUGGUUUUCUACUGCUGCUGCUGAUCACAGUCAUCCUGGUGGGGACAAAGGGGGCCAGAUCUUGUGGAUUAGUUUGCUUUUCCCUAACGACCAGUGACGGUGAGCAUCCUCUCCCGCACUCGCUAGACACAUGCAUGCCUGCCUGCCCAGCAUAACGUGCUUUCCUUUACCACUUUCAUCUGAGUGGUUUGGGCUUUUGUGCCCAAGGGACAGUUGGGCAAGUGUUCGGCGAAUGCAAAUGCCGCCUCAGUGUCCUCACCCGGGGCAGCAGGAGCCACGGAGUCCUGUGAGGCCCUGGGCGGCAGACUGCAUGCGUGGCCAGCGUGGCCAGAGCCCGCAUGCACCCCAGUCCUCCCCUUGCAAAGGCUGCCAGGGCUCUGGGGGUCAUGAGAGCGAGAUGCAUGUCCAGAAGAAAGGCUGUUGGGGACUUAAAACCACUUAGACCUGCACAGACUGCCUGGCUAGGUGAUUUCAAGGACUUCGUGGCCAGCUGUUUCCAUUUCCCUAGUGGCUGGAGAAGAGGAAAUGCUCGGGGGCGGGGGCCUGGACUGGACAGCUCUGCCUGGCAGGGUCUGCCAACGCCUGGCAAGGACCGCAGACCACCCGUGGGCAUCCUGGACCUACCCAAGGUGCAGUGUCCCCAUGGGGUGUCGGGCUUAACUGCUCCUCCUCUGUGUGUCCUGGGUCUAGCUGUCCCCUCAGCGCCCCAUGCUCUCCCAGAGGUGGCUGAAUCCAGAGUGUGUGACUGAUUCAUGGUGCAAUGCUAGGCCCGAGGGCACCAGGAUGAAGGGUGUGAGUGCUGCCCGCCUGAAGGAGUGUGAAUAAGACAAAAGGGGGCAGAAAGACACUGGUAAGGUCCCCGGCUGCUUUUGCUGUCUUCUGCCAAAGUGAACUGUUGCAGCUCUGCCUUGGAGUAAGACAAUAUGGACUGAAACCUCUACAGACUGUGAGCCUAAUAAACCCCUUCCCCUCUAA